rnacentral:lncRNA from 1 species
GGGUGUGAAUGAGUUCCUGUGCCCCUGGAACUGUAAACAAAGCUUGGGACCAAUGCUGAGUGCGAGUCAGAUAGUCACCCAGUUUCUGGUACAUGCCAAGUACAACUUCUCUCUUCAGAGAAACACCUAAUCUUCAACCACCACCACAGACUCCUUGAUUGGAUUGUCAGCCUUUCCUUAGACAGAGUGGGCAGGAAUGCAAGGCUGGGAAUUGGAAGAAUAAAGACCUAAUCUAACAAAUGGUUUCAGUAAUGCUUGAGAUCUCAGGUGAGGUUUGAAUUUAAAUUACAUAAUCCCUAAGAUUCUACAGAGGUAGUGUAGCACACUGUUGAAGAUUACAGAGUUUAGAGACAGCUAACUUGAGUUCAAAUCUCCCAGUUCUGACACUUAAUAGCUGUAUAACUUUAGGCAGGUUGCUUAAAGCCUCUGUUUCCUCACCUAGCAAAUGAAAUAAAAAUAACACCUAC